CAAUCAUUUAUCCCUUUUUUUUUUUUUUUUUUGGUUUUGUUUUGUUUUUCCUGUUUUUUUUUUUUUUUCUUGGCAAGGCCACUGCACUUAUUGCAGCAGGCAGUCUGAGUAUGGGCCAUGUACUAGGCUUGAAAAUGUUCCAGACAAAAUAUUAUUAUACUGGUUUUACAUUGGACUUGGGUGAUGUGAUGUUGCUGCUGCCCUGACUUCCAGUUUUCAGGUCUGCAGGAAUCUUGUUUCCAAGUAUUGUUCCUGUAUCCAGCAAGACUAGAAGCAAAUUUAAGAAGUGGGAGCCAGCAUUUUCAUGUGAUGGCAAUAUUCCAGAAACUGGUGCUCUAGGAUAAACAGUAAAUACUGUGACAUCUCCUCAGCAUGAAACCUGUCUUUGUUUCCAGCAUCCAAACCUAAAAGUAACAAAUAUGGUAUUACCAGUGUACUCUUCUGAAGAUGGAGUUCAGCUAGCUUGCAGGCUUGUUCACACCUGGUGUUGUAGAGGAUUUUGUGUGUAGUCUCCUGGGAGCUGUUCAUGCCAGCUGUGCUGAGCAAACUGAGGUGGCUGAUUGCAAUCAACAGUAACUUCAGA